rnacentral:lncRNA from 1 species
CAGGCCGUGAGUGACAGCACGCCUGCCACGCCCCCUCUGCGCAGACGUCUUUUGCAAGGGCUUGAGCAGACAGACGGGUUCUAGGGUGGCCUUGGAGUGUGGCCUCUGGGGAGGGGGCCACGCAGGUGUGGGCAGGGCCCUCAGACUCUCGGACGCGGGUCCGGUGGCCUUCGAGGCCUCUCGCGUGGUCCGCUGCCCUCCUCACGCUCCGCCCGCGCCCUACCUGCACUUAGUCUCCGAAGCUCUGGUUUGUCCUCUGCCUCAUUUUCCUCUGGACUCAGUGCUGGGCCAGUUGCAGGGUGGCUUCCCCUCUGCGCAGACACAGGUGACCCCAAUCCUGGGUCUCCCCUGACCUCCCGACCCAGGCAUCUCGUCAUCUGCGCCACAGCCUUGCUUGCCAUCCUCAUCACAUGGCCCCUUUCACCCGCUACACCUUCUCUAUAUGGCAGUGAACUCCUGAAUUUGGAAGACCCCACACCUUGCAAGAACCUUUUUUCUUCUCUCCCUCAUCCCUAAGUAAUCCACUGAGGCUCUUCCCUCCUGCCUUUGGGGCUCUCUCCACUCUACGCACGAUCCUGAGGACCCCUCUUCUCUCUGUGUACACUAUCCUCUUGGGUCUUGCCUGCAUCUGAGCUUCAGAAUUUACCACUAAAGCCUUUGAAAUUGCGUACGUGAAUUCCCACUGUGCUUCAAAUCAGCACAGCUUCGUGGCCCAGCAGUCCUGUCUUGCCUUCCCCUAUCUCUCCUGCUUCAUCCCUCACCGCGGACUUUGCCUCUAUUCUCCAGACAUGACACCUGUCUGUGACUGUUAAAUAACUUAAAAUCAAUCUUCCAAAAGCCGUUCUCUGAACAGCACGGGUAAACCCGAGGGCAUCCCUUGAUCCUGCCGUCUGGCCAAUGAUGAGCAGACAGUUAGUUGGACAGCUACCCUGCAGCUCUGGACAGCAUCUGCAUUUCAGAGGAGUAAGUGCUGCCUUCAAUAGCCAAUUGAAGUUCAAGC